rnacentral:rRNA from 1 species
GAUGAACGCUGGCGGCGUGCCUAAUACAUGCAAGUCGAGCGAACGGACGAGAAGCUUGCUUCUCUGAUGUUAGCGGCGAACGGGUGAGUAACACGUGGAUAACCUACCUAUAAGACUGGAAUACCUUCGGAAAACCGGACCUAAUACCGAAUAAUAUUUUAAACUCCAUGUUUCAAAAUUGAAAGACGGUCUGCCGGUAACUUAUGGAUGAAUCCGCGCUGCAUUAGCUAGUUGGUAAGGUAACGGCUUACCAAGGCAACGAUGCAUAGCCGACCUGAGAGGGUGAUCGGCCACACUGGAACUGAGACACGGUCCAGACUCCUACGGGAGGCAGCAGUAGGGAAUCUUCCGCAAUGGGCGAAAGCCUGACGGAGCAACGCCGCGUGAGUGAUGAAGGUCUUCGGAUCGUAAAACUCUGUUAUUAGGGAAGAACAUAUGUGUAAGUAACUGUGCACAUCUUGACGGUACCUAAUCAGAAAGCCACGGCUAACUACGUG